GGGACAGCGAAUUUCUCAGCUCUGAUUGUUCCAUUUGGAGGUGGUGUACAAGGAUAUCAGCAAACUCAUUCCACAUCUCGAGAUAUGUUCCAACACUUGCUGCAAGCGUUCAAAUAAAUACUGUUAAAUU
rnacentral:lncRNA from 1 species